rnacentral:rRNA from 1 species
GACGAACGCUGGCGGCGUGCUUAACACAUGCAAGUCGAACGGAAAGGCCCUGCUUUUGUGGGGUGCUCGAGUGGCGAACGUGUGAGUAACACGUUAGUAACCUGCCCUUGACUUUGGUAUAACUUCAGUAAACUGGGGCUAAUACCGGAUAGGAGCUCCUGCUGCAUUGUUGGUGUUGGAAAGUUUCGGCGGUUGGGGAUGUACUCGCGGCUUAUCAGCUUGUUGGUGGGGUAGUGGCUUACCAAGGCUUUGACGGGUAGCCGGCCUGAGAGGGUGACCGGCAACAUUGGGACUGAGAUACGGCCCAGACUCCUACGGGAGGUAGCAGUGGGGAAUAGUGCACAAUGGGCGGAAGCCUGAUGCAGCAACGCGGCGUGCGGGAUGACGGCCUUCGGGUUGUAAACCGAUUUCGCAUGUGAAGAAGAGUGAGUGACGGUAAUGGGUAAAGAAGCACCGGCUAACUACGUG